UAGGGAAUCUUCCGCAAUGGGCGAAAGCUUGACGGAGCAACGCCGCGUGAGUGAUGAAGGUCUUCGGAUCGUAAAACUCUGUUAUUAGGGAAGAACAAAUGUGUAAGUAACUAUGCACGUCUUGACGGUACCUAAUCAGAAAGCCACGGCUAACUACGUGCCAGCAGCCGCGGUAAUACGUAGGUGGCAAGCGUUAUCCGGAAUUAUUGGGCGUAAAGCGCGCGUAGGCGGUUUUUUAAGACUGGUGUGAAAGCCCACGGCUCAACCGUGGUGGGUCAUUGGAAACUGGUAAACUUGAGUGCAGAAGGGGAAAGUGGAAUUCCAUGUGUGGCGGUGAAAUGCGCAGAGAUAUGGAAGAACACCAGUGGCGAAGGCGACUUUCUGGUCUGUAACUGACGCUGAUGUGCGAAAGCGUGGGGUUCAAACAGG
rnacentral:rRNA from 1 species